UGUGUCUAGUCAUUACCCAUUGAGCCUGAGAACUUUGCCCACAGCAUCUCAGUUUUCUUGAUAAAACAAUUUAAUAACAUGAUUGAAGUUCAGGUUUAAUAUUAGUGCCACUGUGGGAAAACAUAGCCCAUCACAGGACAGCACAGCCUGUUCAAGAGACCCCUGGUAAAGCAGCAGUCUCCUGCACUAUUCAAGUUGAUACCCUAACAUAGCUUCUUUGCAUAGACCACAGCCCUGCCACCCAAGAGACAUGAGGUGGCGAGUGCUCAGAUUAGGCUUUGACAUCAGUAAGUUACUGUGACAGAAACCCUGCAGAUUUCCAUCUGAUUCUCCGUCUUUGGUUGAUAGGAAUGCAUCUUAUGUUCCUUACAAUUCCAAAAUGUGUUUUAACAAAUAUUGGGCAUCCAUGCAUAACAGAUCAGCCCUGAAGUAACUAAUUCUUCACCAAAAUCUUGUUAGUCAUUACCACUCAAAUUGAUGCCAAAACUGAAGACUCACCAUGUUUCACUGCAUCUUACAGGACAUAUGUGAGAUGCAACCAAAUGGACACACCAGAAGGAGGGCAUCAUGGGAUAUGUUAAUCACUCAAUGAUUGUGAAUAUUACAUUUUUUCUAUUCAAGAAGCAAAACUACAUUUUUGAAGGAAAAUGCUGUUAGUCUAACUACUAUAUUACAGGAAUAGGCUCAUGGUCUUGCUUUUGACCAAAGAAAAGACCAGAGCCUUGAAAGCCAUUUUUCAGGUCUGAUGAAGUUGCCAAUUUCAGCACGCCUAGGUUUCUACAGUGACCUUCUGCACACCCUAAAUAAAGACCUACUCUCAAAACUACACCCAAGGACUUUUACAGUGAUUAUUUUAGGUAGUUCAUGUUUUGCCCUGGAAGGAUGGCUUUAAAUUUUUGAUUCUUUUCUAAACAAAUUUUAGACCCAAAAGACACCAUAAAUCUAUUUUAAUUAGGAAAAUGAAUCAUAAGUGAGGAGACAUAAAUACAUAGUCUUCCUAUGAAAUGGCAAUAAUGUGGCAUAAUGCUAUGAAAUUUACUAGCUGUAAUAAAUUUAUGUCAUUUUGAUUGAUAUAUUAAAAAUGAAUUUUGAAAAUUAUGGCAUCUAAAUUUCUAGGUGAUUUGAUACUAAAAAUGUUCUUUGUGGAAUUAGUGAGCAAACAACAGAAUUAUUUUUCUUUGUAUUGCAGCUUUAAAGUAGCACACUCCACAAUAACCUACUUUUAGAGAUAGCGGUGCUACCAUGGAGUGUUGGCCACCUGAACCGCUGUUUGGGGAGAGAAGCAGUUGGAGAAUGCGUAUUCUACAGUGACCGUUUCCCUAGAGUUAAAAAUGCCUCCUCUGUGUAAGGUGUGUAGGGUACAUGUGAGGUAAACUGAGGUAUAAAAUACAGAUGAACCAAAUAAUUAGUUCUAAGUGUUGUCAUGAUUCCGAAUUCGUGGAGUCCGGUGUUUUUCCAUAGAGUGUGACAAAGGACAGUCAUAGCUCAGUAGCUACAUGUAUUUGCCUUUAUGUUAGAAGAGACUUUCUUGAGUGACAUUUUAAUAGAGGAGGCAUCCGCUAUGUUUUUCUGUAUUACAGCAGCAUAGUCCUUAGGCGCCUGGACAGAGUGAAACCAUGAGUAUUUAUGAGUUCAGUAUUGUUCAAAUAAGGCUACAGUAUUUGCUUUUUUGUGUGAAUGUAUUGCAUAUAAUGUUCAAGUAGGUGAUUUUACAUUGACGGGCAUCUGAAAUGUCUGAUUACUCCAUUUUAUCAGUCCUGACUGUACAAGAUUGUUGCAAUUUCAGAAUAGCAGUCUUAUGAAGUUAAUUUAUCUUUUGAUUUACAACAAUUUCUUUAGCUAUUCAUUUCAGCGUUAUGUUUUCCACAAUAUCCAUUUGUGGGAUUCCUUUUGUUGCCCCUAAAUUUUUAAAGAAAGAAGGAAAAAAUGAUGAUAGAGAAAGGAGAAUGUGAAAAUGGAGAAAAGGAAAAAAGAGUAUGGGGGAUAAACAGAAAUGACUGAAGGAAGCGAAGAGGUUGGGAGGGAGAGUGGGGGAGAGCUGGAAUCUUCUGCUGAUGAGCCUAUUGGACUGCAUUCUUGGUUUAACUGCAAAUGGCCGAAUUUUUUCCCAAUGAUCUUAUUCUACACCUAAGUCCUGCUAUACCCUGUGGUCCUGCUGGGCAGAAUUUAUUGAAUGAUUCCACUGCCCAGGCCACAGUACUGAGUGCUUUUUGCAGACACUGAGAUUGAGAGAGAGCAUUUCAAACAUAAAGUCACUUUGGGGUUCACAGCUUCACUGAAAAAUUAUCUUCUCAUAACAUUUAUGAUAUGUCUAGAAAGUAGACUGGAAAGCUAAGAAUCACCCGGAUAAUUCAGGACAAAACUGCACACAUAUAGAGAAGUACCCCCAAUCUGUGAAGUAUGAACACUCUGAGCAACUGAACUAUCAAAGUCAACCAAUGGUAUUGAUCAAAUUACUGAAUAAUUGUUAAUUUACCCAUUGUGCUUAGCUUUGUAACACAGCUGAAAGUUACCUAUUUAAUCUUUUCAAUAAAAAUUGUUUUUUUUGAAAUCCAGAAAUGAUUUUAAAAAGAGGUCAGGUUUCUAACUAUUUAUUGAAGUGUGUGGGUGUACAGUAUUUCAAUAGAUAUGAAUAUGGAUAAGUGGUAUUGCCUUAAGAUCCUCUGAAAUGUACUUACUUUAAAGACUGGAAAACACCCUUCCUGUCUUUAGUAAAACAUCCAUAUUUCAUAAUCUGAUGUAAAAUAUGUUGUACUGUUUCCAAUAGGUGAAUAUAAAGUCAGUUUAUCAAUU
rnacentral:lncRNA from 1 species